rnacentral:rRNA from 1 species
AUGAAGAUUGCCUUGCGACGAGCCGGUGUGGACGACCCCAUUUCGAUGAAGUUCCACUUCAUGAUGGGAUUACACAACGACAUCUCCAAGACGGUCUUCCUCGAGAACUACAAGUCCCUCGACGACAACUACAUUGGUGCUCUCAAGGCGGAACAAGAACUCAUGAAGGCCAAGGCUUCUCGACCCCAAGCUCACUUCGCGACGACCAAGCUCCAUGAGAACGAGCAUGAGGAUAGUACCACCAAGAUGUCCAAGCCCGACGAGCUCCAAGACGAUGCUCCCAAGGUCGACUUCACCUACAUUCCUCUUUGUGGCAUUGAUGAUGCUGAGUCCUCCAUGACUCUUUUUCAAGACGAUGCGGUGACGAGUACGACUACGGAGACCCUCAAGGACCAAGCUUUGGAGGCGAGCGACAAGGUGGCGAGCAAGGAUGAUGCUUCCAUCUUAGGAGGCAAGAGUGAUGAUGUGCCAUCUUCGGCCUUCAUACAUGGUGAUGACAACGAGAUGGUUGAUCAUGGGAUUUUCCCUUCGACCACGGCGACAUGUGAUGAUUUGAGUGACUUUAGCCACCAUAUUGAGAGUGAGAGUGACUUCACCACUAGCCCCAUAUGUGAUGUGUUGCCACAAUUCCCAUGUGAGGAGAGCCACAACCCCCACCACUUGAGUGAGAUAAGUGACUCCACCAUAUGUGACAUUGAGUGCACCUACCAUGAGGGAGUGAGUGAACCAUCACAUAGAGAGAGUGAGAUAGUUGAUAGGUCAUGUGAGGCCACUUUUAACACUAACGACUUGACCUCUACCUCUAUUGUGUCUUCUCAUUUGGUGCUAGGUCCCUUAUAUGAUGAUGCGCCGCUUCUCGAUGACUUCGUCCUACCUUUGGACAAGAUGAUGUCCAUGGUGGAAUAUGAUGCACCCCCCCACAUGGUUCCAUCACAGUGA